rnacentral:rRNA from 1 species
GCCGUCCGAGUUGUAAUCUAGAGAAGCGUCUUCCGCGCUGGACCGUGUAUAAGUUUCCUGGAAUGGAACGUCGUAGAGGGUGAGAAUCCCGUCUUUGACACGGACUGCCAGGGCUAUGUGAUGCGCUCUCGACGAGUCGAGUUGUUUGGGAAUGCAGCUCAAAUAGGGUGGUAAAUUCCAUCUAAAGCUAAAUACAGGCGAGAGACCGAUAGCGAACAAGUACCGUGAGGGAAAGAUGAAAAGAACUUUGGAAAGAGAGUUAAACAGUACGUGAAAUUGCUGAAAGGGAAACGCUUGAUGUCAGUCGCGUUCGCCGGGGAUCAGCCUUGCUCUUUUGCUCGGCGUACUUCCUGGUGGACGGGUCAGCAUCAGUUUUGUUCGUCGGAAAAUGGCUGGAGAAAUGUGGCACUCUUCGGAGUGUGUUAUAGACUCUGGUCGAAUACGACGUCCGGGACUGAGGAACUCAGCACGACCUUCGGGUUCGGGGCUUCGGCUCACGUUAACGUGCUUAGGAUGCUGGCAUAAUGGCCUUAAGCGACCCGUCUUGAAACACGGACCAAGGAGUCUAACUCGCAUGCGAGUGUUUGGGCGAUUAAAACCCGAGCGCGUAAUGAAAGUGAAAGUCGAGACCUCUGUCGUGGAGGGCAUCGACGCCCGGACCUGAGCUUCUGCGAAGGAUCUGCGGUAGAGCAUGCGUGUUGGGACCCGAAAGAUGGUGAACUAUGCCUGAAUAGGGUGAAGCCAGAGGAAACUCUGGU